GUUUAAACCGACGUAAUAUAAUUUUAUUUUAUUUGUAUUUACAUUUUCUACCUCGUCUCUCUUCUCAUCUAGGUCAGAGCUAGCUUGAAAAAUUCGAUGUCUCUCUUCUCCACCACCGCCUUCGAUGGAUCUCACCACCGCACUCGUCUAGAUCUCACCACCGCAUUCGAUGUCUCUCUUCUCGUCUGGGUUCUCGAUCUAGAUCUCUCUUCUUCCAGAAAUCCUUCUCCUUCCAGAAUCUCGAUCUCGACCUCUCUUCGAUUUCUCUUCUUGAUCGUGUCCUCAUCUUGAUCUCUCAGGGCUAUUGACAAUUUCUGGUGGAGAUGGCUUUCUAGACUUAUCUCCAUUUACUUGUUAUCUCUCAUUCAGUUGAUUCUGAUUUCUCUUGUUAGGAUUCUCUUCUCUCCUAAACUUUGCUGGGUGAAACUGAAACAGUCAUGCCAAUUGAUAAGUCAUGGAUUAGCAAACCGCGAAAUACGGUUGAAUAUGCUGAUGGGUUAGCUAAAUUUUUGGACUUCGCGUUCAUGCAUAAGUCCAUUGAGGGUCGUGGGGGCUGUAAAAUUGUGUGUCCGUGUUCAAAUUGUGGUUGCAAGAAGUGGCAAACAAGGGAUGUAGUUCAAGAGCACUUAACUUGUCGGCCUUUCCCUCAAAAUUACAAAUUUUGGAAUUGGCAUGGCGAAGGAUCAAACAUAGUUGAAUCUGGGGCUUCUGAACAAAGACAUGUCAAUGAAGAUAUUUUGCAGCCUCAAGAUCCAAUAGAAAACAUGAUAAAUGAUGCAUUUGGGCAGAAUGUCAAUGAGCUCGGUGAAACUUCUGACCAUUCUGAUGAUGAAUUGGGUGAUGAGACGUGUGAUGGAGAUAAUGCGGAUUUUUAUGAGUUGUUGAAGGACAAUAAUCAACAAUUGUAUGAAGGGUGCAGAAAGUAUUCGAAAUUGUCAUUUCUGAUUAAAUUGUAUCAUAUAAAGUGCUUGUGCAAAAUGAGUGACAAGGCCAUGACCAUGAUAUUGGAAUUGUUAAAAGAUGCGUUUGAAGAUGCAAAGCUUCCUUCUUCAUUUUAUGAGGCCAAGAAAAUCAUCAACAAGCUUGGUCUCAAUUAUACCAAGAUACACGCAUGCCCAUUGGACUGUAUGUGAUAUUGGGGAGAAGGUAAUGAAGACUUGGAAAAAUGCAAAAGAUGCGGGAACUCCAGGUGGGAGGAUGAUAAAACCAAGACACCAGCAAAGAUCUUGAGGUACUUUCCACUAAAGCUGAGAUUGCAAAGAUUGUAUAUGUCUUCUAAGACCGCUGAGUCUAUGACAUGGCAUGCAUUUGGGGGUAACCAAGAUGGAUUGAUGAGACAUCCUAGAGAUUCUGAGGCCUGGAAAGAAUUUGAUUCUCGUCAUCAUGUAUUGUCCUGAAGUCAAGCCUUACAUAGAAUAUGGCAAAGAAAAAGCGGUUCAGGAAUCCACUUAAAUCAAUUAGUGAGAGCUCCUCACAUGCUCCCGAACUUUCUGUACCAGAACCUACAAUACCAGAUCCAUCAAUACCAGAACCUACAGAAGCAGAGACUCAACCUUCUGAAGUUGAUCAAGAUUCCACCCACAAAUAGCCUGUAAAGGCUAUAGAUGAAGAACACAAUAUAAUUAAGACACUUAAGUUGAGGGCUAAGGAAAUUCAUGAUGUGCCUGAUGGACUGCGUAUCAUUCUAGAUUUUGAUGAGCACUAUAGACCUGUUGGAAAUGCAGCUGGCUUGCUUGCUAGCGUUUGUGGAAAAUCUGUUUUAUCUGUUUUAUUAUGUUGGCACUUUUUCCACAAGCAAUUUACUCUGUUUUUUAGAUUUUUCUCUUAAAACUGUUAGUGAGAGAACUUUCUUAUAACUGUAAGUUUUCCAAACAUACAGUAGCUUGGCAAUUUACUAUGUGUUGCCUUGAGAUAUUGACAUCAGGGGUGGUAAUGGAGCUUCCUUGCUGGCCUGACUGUGGUUUUUCUGUUUGUGUUACUAAUGUGAUGUUAGUUAUGUUCCCUUUGUGUGCUUCUUCAUUUCUAUAUGUCCUUUUUAUUUUUCCUUCCCCUGUACUCGCUAGUGUUGCUGUUUUAUCUUUUCCUUUUUUCUUUCUUUGUACUUGAUAGUGUUGUUGUAUUUGCUAUGUCUCUUGUUUUUUUUAGUUUGCUUUUCUCUUGGUUCACGUGGGGAACCUUGUCCCCAUAUUCUUUCAUCUAAUAUAUUUACUUCAUCUUUCAAAAAAACAAACAUUCAAUAAAUCAUAAUGUUUGUUUUCUUCAUUUCUUGUAGGCACCAGAUGGAGAUGGAGGUAGCGGGAUGCCAAAUGGAAGCAACCCAAAUUCCAAUUUAGAGGAUGCUUAGAGCACAUCUAGUCUAUGAUAAUUUUAUUAUUGUGAUAGCUUCCUAGUUUUAUUAUUGUAAUGAACAUAGAGAUAGACUAGACCCCAAAUGCUCCUUGUUAUUUAGAGUUUCAUCGGAGUUUUAUAAUGUGUUUAUUAUUGUAAUGAUCA